CGGCGAGUGGCGAACGGGUGAGUAAUAUAUCGGAACGUACCCAAGAGUGGGGGAUAACGUAGCGAAAGUUACGCUAAUACCGCAUACGAUCUAAGGAUGAAAGCAGGGGAUCUUCGGACCUUGUGCUCCUGGAGCGGCCGAUAUCUGAUUAGCUAGUUGGUGAGGUAAAGGCUCACCAAGGCCACGAUCAGUAGCUGGUCUGAGAGGACGACCAGCCACACUGGAACUGAGACACGGUCCAGACUCCUACGGGAGGCAGCAGUGGGGAAUUUUGGACAAUGGGCGAAAGCCUGAUCCAGCAAUGCCGCGUGAGUGAAGAAGGCCUUCGGGUUGUAAAGCUCUUUUGUCAGGGAAGAAACGGUGAGGGCUAAUAUCCUUCGCUAAUGACGGUACCUGAAGAAUAAGCACCGGCUAACUACGUGCCAGCAGCCGCGGUAAUACGUAGGGUGCAAGCGUUAAUCGGAAUUACUGGGCGUAAAGCGUGCGCAGGCGGUUUUGUAAGUCUGACGUGAAAUCCCCGGGCUCAACCUGGGAAUUGCGUUGGAGACUGCAAGGCUAGAAUCUGGCAGAGGGGGGUAGAAUUCCACGUGUAGCAGUGAAAUGCGUAGAGAUGUGGAGGAACACCGAUGGCGAAGGCAGCCCCCUGGGUCAAGAUUGACGCUCAUGCACGAAAGCGUGGGGAGCAAACAGGAUUAGAUACCCUGGUAGUCCACGCCCUAAACGAUGUCUACUAGUUGUCGGGUUUUAAUUAACUUGGUAACGCAGCUAACGCGUGAAGUAGACCGCCUGGGGAGUACGGUCGCAAGAUUAAAACUCAAAGGAAUUGACGGGGACCCGCACAAGCGGUGGAUGAUGUGGAUUAAUUCGAUGCAACGCGAAAAACCUUACCUACCCUUGACAUGUACGGAAG
rnacentral:rRNA from 1 species